rnacentral:rRNA from 1 species
GCACAAGCGGUGGAGCAUGUGGUUCAAUUCGACGCAACGCGAAGAACCUUACCCAGGCUCGAACGGCGAGUGACAUCCGGCGAAAGUCGGCUUCCGCAAGGACACUUGUCGAGGUGCUGCAUGGCUGUCGUCAGCUCGUGUCGUGAGAUGUUGGGUUAAGUCCCGCAACGAGCGCAACCCUUGUCUUCUGUUGCCAUCACGUUAUGGUGGGCACUCUGGAGAGACUGCCGGUGACAAACCGGAGGAAGGUGGGGAUGACGUCAAGUCCGCAUGGCCUUUAUGUCUGGGGCCACACACGUGCUACAAUGGCCGACACAAACCGUCGCGAUACCGCAAGGUGGAGCUAAUCGGAUAAAGUCGGUCUCAGUUCGGAUUGCAGGCUGCAACUCGCCUGCAUGAAGUUGGAAUCGCUAGUAAUCGCGGAUCAGCACGCCGCGGUGAAUACGUUCCCGGGC